rnacentral:rRNA from 1 species
AGCGAACGCUGGCGGCAGGCUUAACACAUGCAAGUCGAACGGGCAUCUUCGGAUGUCAGUGGCAGACGGGUGAGUAACCCGUGGGAACGUACCCUUCGGUUCGGAAUAACUCAGGGAAACUUGAGCUAAUACCGGAUACGCCCUUUUGGGGAAAGGUUUACUGCCGAAGGAUCGGCCCGCGUCUGAUUGGCUUGUUGGUGGGGUAACGGCCUACCAAGGCGACGAUCAGUAGCUGGUCUGAGAGGAUGAUCAGCCACACUGGGACUGAGACACGGCCCAGACUCCUACGGGAGGCAGCAGUGGGGAAUAUUGGACAAUGGGCGCAAGCCUGAUCCAGCCAUGCCGCGUGAGUGAUGAAGGCCUUAGGGUUGUAAAGCUCUUUUGUCCGGGACGAUAAUGACGGUACCGGAAGAAUAAGCCCCGGCUAACUUCGG